CACGGGGGUUGCGAGCGUUGUUCGGAAUUACUAGGCGUAAAGGGCAGGCAGGCGGAUCCAUAAGUUUAUCGUUUAAGGCGUCGGCUUAACCGGCGUAGGGCGGUAGAUACUGUGGAUCUGGAAUGCGGUUGGGGAAGACAGAAUUCCUGGUGUAGCGGUGGAAUGCGCAGAGAUCAGGAGGAAUACCGAAGGCGAAGGCAGUCUUCCAAGCCGUUAUUGACGCUCAACUGCGAAGGUGUGGGUAUCAAACAGGAUUAGAUACCCGCGUAGUCCCUGA
rnacentral:rRNA from 1 species